AGAGUUUGAUCAUGGCUCAGAUUGAACGCUGGCGGCAGGCCUAACACAUGCAAGUCGAGCGGUAGCACAGAGAGCUUGCUCUCGGGUGACGAGCGGCGGACGGGUGAGUAAUGUCUGGGAAACUGCCUGAUGGAGGGGGAUAACUACUGGAAACGGUAGCUAAUACCGCAUAACGUCGCAAGACCAAAGUGGGGGACCUUCGGGCCUCAUGCCAUCAGAUGUGCCCAGAUGGGAUUAGCUAGUAGGUGGGGUAAUGGCUCACCUAGGCGACGAUCCCUAGCUGGUCUGAGAGGAUGACCAGCCACACUGGAACUGAGACACGGUCCAGACUCCUACGGGAGGCAGCAGUGGGGAAUAUUGCACAAUGGGCGCAAGCCUGAUGCAGCCAUGCCGCGUGUGUGAAGAAGGCCUUCGGGUUGUAAAGCACUUUCAGCGGGGAGGAAGGCGAUAAGGUUAAUAACCUUGUCGAUUGACGUUACCCGCAGAAGAAGCACCGGCUAACUCCGUGCCAGCAGCCGCGGUAAUACGGAGGGUGCAAGCGUUAAUCGGAAUUACUGGGCGUAAAGCGCACGCAGGCGGUCUGUCAAGUCGGAUGUGAAAUCCCCGGGCUCAACCUGGGAACUGCAUUCGAAACUGGCAGGCUAGAGUCUUGUAGAGGGGGGUAGAAUUCCAGGUGUAGCGGUGAAAUGCGUAGAGAUCUGGAGGAAUACCGGUGGCGAAGGCGGCCCCCUGGACAAAGACUGACGCUCAGGUGCGAAAGCGUGGGGAGCAAACAGGAUUAGAUACCCUGGUAGUCCACGCCGUAAACGAUGUCGAUUUGGAGGUUGUGCCCUUGAGGCGUGGCUUCCGGAGCUAACGCGUUAAAUCGACCGCCUGGGGAGUACGGCCGCAAGGUUAAAACUCAAAUGAAUUGACGGGGGCCCGCACAAGCGGUGGAGCAUGUGGUUUAAUUCGAUGCAACGCGAAGAACCUUACCUGGUCUUGACAUCCACAGAACUUAGCAGAGAUGCUUUGGUGCCUUCGGGAACUGUGAGACAGGUGCUGCAUGGCUGUCGUCAGCUCGUGUUGUGAAAUGUUGGGUUAAGUCCCGCAACGAGCGCAACCCUUAUCCUUUGUUGCCAGCGGUUAGGCCGGGAACUCAAAGGAGACUGCCAGUGAUAAACUGGAGGAAGGUGGGGAUGACGUCAAGUCAUCAUGGCCCUUACGACCAGGGCUACACACGUGCUACAAUGGCAUAUACAAAGAGAAGCGACCUCGCGAGAGCAAGCGGACCUCAUAAAGUAUGUCGUAGUCCGGAUUGGAGUCUGCAACUCGACUCCAUGAAGUCGGAAUCGCUAGUAAUCGUAGAUCAGAAUGCUACGGUGAAUACGUUCCCGGGCCUUGUACACACCGCCCGUCACACCAUGGGAGUGGGUUGCAAAAGAAGUAGGUAGCUUAACCUUCGGGAGGGCGCUUACCACUUUGUGAUUCAUGACUGGGGUGAAGUCGUAACAAGGUAACCGUAGGGGAACCUGCGGUUGGAUCACCU
rnacentral:rRNA from 1 species